rnacentral:rRNA from 1 species
GACGAACGCUGGCGGCGUGCCUAAUACAUGCAAGUAGAACGCUGAAGGAGGAGCUUGCUUCUCCGGAUGAGUUGCGAACGGGUGAGUAACGCGUAGGUAACCUGUCUGGUAGCGGGGGAUAACUAUUGGAAACGAUAGCUAAUACCGCAUAAGAGUAGAUGUCGCAUGACAUUUGCUUAAAAGGUGCAACUGCACCACUACCAGAUGGACCUGCGUUGUAUUAGCUAGUUGGUGAGGUAACGGCUCACCAAGGCAACGAUACAUAGCCGACCUGAGAGGGUGAUCGGCCACACUGGGACUGAGACACGGCCCAGACUCCUACGGGAGGCAGCAGUAGGGAAUCUUCGGCAAUGGACGGAAGUCUGACCGAGCAACGCCGCGUGAGUGAAGAAGGUUUUCGGAUCGUAAAGCUCUGUUGUAAGAGAAGAACGAGUGUGAGAGUGGAAAGUUCACACUGUGACGGUAUCUUACCAGAAAGGGACGGCUAACUACGUG